rnacentral:rRNA from 1 species
UACGAAGGGGGCUAGCGUUGUUCGGAAUUAUUGGGCGUAAAGCGCGUGUAGGCGGUGAUGCAUGUCGGGUGUGAAAGCCCCCAGCUUAACUGAGGAAGUGCGCCCGAAACUGCAUCGCUGGAGUGUCGGAGAGGAAGGCGGAAUUCCCGGUGUAGAGGUGAAAUUCGUAGAUAUCGGGAGGAACACCAGUGGCGAAGGCGGCCUUCUGGACGAACACUGACGCUGAGACGCGAAAGCGUGGGUAGCAAACAGG